rnacentral:rRNA from 1 species
UGCAUAUCAAUAAGCGGAGGAAAAGAAACCAACAGGGAUUGCCCUAGUAACGGCGAGUGAAGCGGCAACAGCUCAAAUUUGAAAUCUGGCUCUCGGGCCCGAGUUGUAAUUUGUAGAGGAUACUUUUGAUGCGGUGCCUUCCGAGUUCCCUGGAACGGGACGCCAUAGAGGGUGAGAGCCCCGUCUGGUUGGAUGCCAAAUCUCUGUAAAGUUCCUUCAACGAGUCGAGUAGUUUGGGAAUGCUGCUCUAAAUGGGAGGUAUAUGUCUUCUAAAGCUAAAUACCGGCCAGAGACCGAUAGCGCACAAGUAGAGUGAUCGAAAGAUGAAAAGCACUUUGAAAAGAGAGUUAAAAAGUACGUGAAAUUGUUGAAAGGGAAGCGUUUAUGACCAGACUUGGGCUUGGUUAAUCAUCUGGGGUUCUCCCCAGUGCACUUUUCCAGUCCAGGCCAGCAUCAGUUUUCCCCGGGGGAUAAAGGCGGCGGGAAUGUGGCUCUCUUCGGGGAGUGUUAUAGCCCACCGUGUAAUACCCUGGGGGGGACUGAGGUUCGCGCAUCUGCAAGGAUGCUGGCGUAAUGGUCAUCAACGACCCGUCUUGAAACACGGACCAAGGAGUCGUCUUCGUAUGCGAGUGUUCGGGUGUCAAACCCCUACGCGUAAUGAAAGUGAACGCAGGUGAGAGCUUCGGCGCAUCAUCGACCGAUCCUGAUGUUCUCGGAUGGAUUUGAGUAAGAGCAUACGGGGCCGGACCCGAAAGAAGGUGAACUAUGCCUGUAUAGGGUGAAGCCAGAGGAAACUCUGGUGGAGGCUCGCAGCGGUUCUGACGUGCAAAUCGAUCGUCAAAUAUGGGCAUGGGGGCGAAAGACUAAUCGAACCUUCUAGUAGCUGGUUUCCGCCGAAGUU